GGUAAAUGUUUCAUGAUAAGAAUUUCAUGUCUUUUGUAUUAAAGAAUUAAAUGGAUGAAGUAUGAUGUUUUAUUAAAAGAAAAAGGGGUGAAAAGAACAAAGUUUUGUCCAUCUUUGUUCAUCAUAGCUGAAAGUUAGAGAAGAGAAAGGAGAGGAGAAAGCUCUUGAGUAUUCGGUCAUUAGGAGGAGGAAAAUUGAAGGAAAUCCCCAACCAUAGUGGGCUUGGAGCUGUGAGGGAAUUCGGAGUGGCCACCCAUUCUGAAAGUUUGAUUUUCUUCUGGUGAAUUGGACAUCCUUUUAUUUACUUUUGAGGUUUUGGGCUUUUAAAUGUAAUAAGGCCGCUUAUUUAUUUUUGAUGGUUUUUAAUAUGUAUUACUAAGAUAGGUAAUACUUAUUUUAACUGUUGAAAUUGGAUAGCUUUAGGGGGCGUUUUCAAAAACAA